rnacentral:rRNA from 1 species
UACGUAGGUGGCAAGCGUUGUCCGGAUUUACUGGGCGUAAAGAGCGCGCAGGCGGUUGUUUAAGUCGAAUGGGAAAGCCCCCGGCUCAACUGGGGAGGGUCAUUCGAUACUGAUCGACUUGAAGGCAGGAGAGGGAAGUGGAAUUCCGGGUGUAGUGGUGAAAUGCGUAGAUAUCUGGAAGAACACCAAUGGCGAAGGCACCAUCCUGGGAAGCAUCUGACGCUCAGGUGCGAAAGCUAGGGGAGCGAACGGG